AGUAUCUAUAAUCUUACUUUGCAGAGGCUAGUGAAAUUAUCCUCUAAUGGUUACACAUGAUGACUGGGAAAGUCAUGACUAGAACAAGGAUCUCUUAAUGCCCGGUCCCCAUUUCUCACCUGUCUACCCUAUCAGUAGUAUUAUUCUCUGUUGCUUAUAUUAGAGUAGCACCAUUGUGCUAAGUGCUGCACUAAGUCAGAGGAAGACAGUCACUUUUCCAGUGUGAUAUAACUUAAGGGGAAAAGGAAGCCCAAAGAGGUGAAGUGACCGGCCUAAAGCAGGUCAGUGACAGAGCAUGGGAGUGAAACCUAGAUCUCUUAAAUUAUAAUCAUGUGCAAUCUACAAUGAGCCAUACCUAGAAUUAAACUAGCUGCAAUUUAAAAGAAAAACAGUCUUUAAUGUUGGAAUCUCUUUCUUUUUCUUGAUUAUUUGUUCUUAUAGUAUUAAGAAAUUAUCCCACUGAGGGCCAAAAAGCAGCUUGUCCCAUCAUCUAACAGCAGGCCAGCUGACAGUUUACUUCUCCACCUCUAUAGUAGUAGGCAUGACCUUCCUCAGAGACACUUGGGCACGAGAAAUGAACGUAUCCUCUUGCAAAACAGCGCAAAGCAGGUGUCUAAGUCCAGGAAAUGUCCUUUUGGGUGGACCCUCCAGGGCAAACAUUGCUACCUUCUGAAUCCAGUUAGAAAUGCAACCUGGGAGAGUGCUGAAAUGGCCUGCAGAGAAUGGUCUGAUUCACUUAGCCAGCGUGCAUUCCCAAAAAGAAAUGGUAUGGCUCUGGAAGUUUGCCGGCAAACAACCGUUUUGGAUUGGCCUUCUGGAAAAAGGUGAGAAGGAGAGAUGGAUUUUGAGUCCUGGACACCCAGUGACCUUUCAUAAUUUUUAGGGAGGAAAGCCAUUACCAAGCCAAACAGCUCAACUGAAGUGUGUCCUUGCACAAAGGAAGGAAAAAUGGGUAACAAGGCACUGCAAACAGGCACACCGAGAGAGAUAUGUCUGCUCUUCUCCUUCAUGGACUGGCUUGACCUCACAAAACCCAACAUAACUCCAUUUCUUGUAUCCCAACAGCUACGUCAUGGGUGAUGAUCAGCAUUGCAAUUGAAAGCAAGACAUUAGGGAGAAAAGUUGUAAUUAGGAAUGAAUUAAAUACCAAGCAGAGGGAGCAAAGUUAAAACUAAACAUUUUAUAAAUUCAUUUCAUUUGCAUAUAAUUUCAUUUAUAAUUGACAUUUUAUAAGUUCACUGCCAUUUUCCUUCUGUAGAGUUAAAUCAAUGUGAAUACUGCCAGAGCUGAUAAGCAGCUGCGGGCAGAGUUUUGAGGUUUGCAAGUUGUUAGCGCAAGGGAAGAUUUCAAAACUUUCCUCGUGAGUUUGUGCAUUGGUCUACUUUAAAAGUUUACCGUGACCAUGUGAAAUAAUCUUAUUGCAGGGAAGCUGGGGACAGGCCAGUAAUCUGGGCUGUAGCUCUGUGGGCCUGAUCCACCAGCUUAAAUCCCCACAGAGAGAAGAAUGACCAAGAGUCUUAGCACUGACUUGUGCUGGUGCUUUAUGCCCGGGAAGGAAAAGGAUCCAUUGCUAUGUGUCCAUGUGAAGAUCCCCUAGGCAAGAUCCAUUUCCUCAGGCUUCAUGCAGAGAUCCAGAAUUUUACCCUUCAGAGAGGCCUGAUUCUUCUGUGUUGAAAUUAGUGCUGUUUUGCCAUUAACUUCAAUGAGAGCAGACUCAAACCACAAGUGCAUUUGUGUAAAAAGCAUGCAGUUUCAUGAACAUCUAUUGUAAUAGCAACAAUGAGAGAGAUUUUACAUCCAUUGGAUUAAUACUGUACUUACAGUUAUUACAGUAUGACUGUUAGUAAAGCAUUAGAAAAUCGAUCACAAGAGAGGACACACUAAGUUCAUAUGGAGAUGCAACAUGCCUUUCCUUGGAUCUGUAUAUUCCUCCUGGGCCCACACUUGCAAACCUUAGUGGCAGCCAGCAAUUAUAGCUCAUCUGUAUCUUCUUUUCUUUAUGGAAGAUAGAAAAUUCCCAACUGGAAAAAUACAGAACAACUUAUAGUUUGGACAUUCAGUUGGAUAAAUAUCUUGAUACAAAUCCACCCAGUCUUUCCUGCCCAGGGACAAUUUUACUUUCUAAAGAGUGGAGCAUAACAAUACAGCUAACUGUGAUGGGAUCCCAUAGCAAUAACAUGUUUAUGGGAAUGCUCUAUUCCCAGACUAAAUGAUGUGUAAACCCGCCCUGCCAUCUAGAAUUUGUUACUUUAUUAGGAUUAUAUUCUUAAUGGAAGGAUUAGAGUUUGCUUGAUAUCUUUGGUUAUCUUUUGUCAGGGCGGUAAUAUUUUUUCUAUGCAUUUAAAAAUGGCAUUGCUUAUAUCAUUGCAAUCAUUAUAUAUCCUUUCUGAUAGUAACUUUCAUUUCUUCUCCUAUCAAUCACUUAGUGAGUAGUGUUCAGGUUCCCGAUGAUUUAAAAGUAUGGUCCAUUGAGACAUGAGCAACAUCUUUCCUAGAGUAACAUUGAGACUCUAAAACUUUAAAUUCAAACCACAUGCUUCUGCCACUUCUCUUGAAACAACCACUAUCGAUCAGGGACUGUCACUAGACUAUAAACCACAGAUACUCUGUAACUCUUAGCAAACCAAAGCUCCCUUUUUAAAUUAUAGUUAGGGUCAGAAAGAUGACUAUUUUAAUAAUUCUGGUUUUACUCCUGGCAUCUCUUCUCUCUGCAGAUUUCAAAUAUCUGUGCUGACUGAAAGACCUUACUUCUCUGAGUUCCUCUUCGUUCUACAGCAGUCAAGCAAUUCUGGGAGCCUCACCCAGUCUUCCCAGGCUCAAGAAUAAUUAAUGGGACCUUUAUUAAAGAUACUGUGUUUGUCCUGGCUCUCACAUUAACCCUUUCAGGUCCCAGGGAGAGCAGAGAAGGUGUAUGACAGCUAGAGGGAAAAUAAGAAGUUGGUUUUGGGGCUUUUUGGGUUUUUUUACCGGUUAAUUUUGAAAAAGAAUCACUUAAAGGUAAAAAAAAAUAUGUGGUUGCUUUUGGGAUGAUAAUUCUUUAAAUUUUGCUAUUUGGAUAUUGCUGUAAGGGUACUGCACCUGAACAAAGGGAAGCACGGAAAAGAAAUAGCUGGAAAUGUGAGGUGGGAGGGAUAAAGGAAAACUGAAAAUUGAAAAGAUGAAGACAUAAUAGCCUCUAGUGUAAUGUUUUCUACCUAGUUGUGGAGGCCUUUUUUCCCCCUUUUAACAGCUCUCUGUUAUGGUAGAAAUGGUAGAUUCCUACCAUUUGGGGAUGAGCUUGAGUAUUUAGUUCAUGUCAUACCAGGCGUGUUUCCCCUCUCAUUCAAGAUCCUUACAUAUGGAUUGACAACUUCAAGACCCUGGGUAAAACACAAUUGCUUUAAUGCCCCCACCUACAUUUAUUAAAUGUUAUGUGAAUUUUGUUUCUAUGAAAAUGUCACUAAUUACAAUACUGUGAUUGUUUAGCUCUGAUACACGUAUAAUGUGUCCACAAAAUAAACAUUAAUAGGAUAGGACCUACUUCAUUUUGGACAUUUGAUUAGUGUCUCUUAACGUAGAACAUAUAACAAGUCUGAGUGUAUUUCACUUGCACUUGCACUUAGCUAUAUAUAUAAAACAUAAUAAUAUAUAAUAAUAUACUAUAACUAUAUAUAUAAUAUCACUUGCACUUAGCUAUAUCUAUCUAUCUAUCUAUCUAUCUAUCUAUCUAUCUAUACACACACACAUAUUCAUUGACCUGUUGUCAUAACUCCCUAGUACAUGAGCAGUCAGCUGCCCAGAACGUGCCAUUUGCUUUUAAGAGAUGCACAGGACAUCUUGCUCAGAAAUCUCACAAGCUAACCAAAUGCAUUUCUACACAUCCAGCCUGCUGACCAUACUAGUGUUUCAAGUACUUCCUCUAGCAGUUUGUUACACGGAAACAUAUUUAGGAUAGCCAUGGACCUCCAAGAAGGCUUUGGACUGAUCCCUGGUGAGUCAGAGAUCCGUAUCGCGCGGUGUGAUUUAUAUGUCCGUCCUGCAUUUAUGGUGCCCAGGGAAGUUCCAGGACACAUUUCAACCUGGGUGUCAUAAAUGUGUUUUUUUGCAAUAAAUUCAACAGAAGCUUCUGCAUCCACGUACAGAGCAAGCUGGCAGACAUUCAGCAUUUCUGGAUGUCUACCAGCAAACAGAUGAGAAGUCCCAAGGGCUUCUGAUCUCCCAGGAGUGCAUUUUCACUGUGUUCCCCCAUCACAAUAGUGUCUAGAUAUUUAGCUAUUUUCUGGAAAAUGGGGGAUGGAUCCUCUAGGGGCUGUUUGUUCCAAGACUUGGGUGAGAUCCCACAGAACUCAGUACAAACCUUAUUUUGAUUUCAAGGAUGCUGGCCCUUGGAGGGUAGUUUUCCAGGAUGUUGCAUAAGGCACGGUUGGUUUUUAGCAGCAGAGCAGUCAUGUUAAGGCCUUGAUUUCUUUUCAGCCUCAGGCGGAAAUGUGGAGACACGGACGCCAGACAGGGGAGGGUGUAGAACACCAAGCACAAAUUGACUGCGACUUCUGGAGAAGUUAACCAGAACAAAUCCCCAGUAGGAGCACACAAGGAGCACAUUUUGUCUCCUAAACACUUCUCUAUUGAAUGUAACCAGGCAGAUGAGCAAGCAGGGUGCUAUAUUUCCUUUUUCCUUCUAUGGCUAAUUUCAUUUUCUCCUUUUUCAGUGAGUCAUGUUCAAAGAUCUGUUUAAUGCAUCAGUACCUUGAAAAUAAAGUUCUUUUCACCUAACACCUGGCCGCAAAAAUCAAGGGAGUAUGAUGAAUGUUCUCAGAAGUGCUUUAUUCCUUUGAAACCGGUGACUUUCAGGACUGUGUGUGGUAAAUCAUGUGCAUGGUUACCAUUAACAAUGAUAUGAAUAGUGCAUCUAAUUCCCUGGAAAUUAAGCCCCUCAGCUGUUCAAAGAAAACAGGAGCCAAAGAGAUUAAAUAUUGCAACCGGGAAAAUCUUUUUCAAAAAACCACUGUCUCUGCAGGCAAGAAAUAGCCCCGUUCAUCAGCUGUCUAACUGUUGAGUUUACUAUUGAGCUCAACCCUAUUAUCUUUCAUUUGAAUCAUGACCUUAAUUUAUUCUUUGAAAUAAAUUCUUCAGCGUGCUUCUCAGAACGUGGAAAAUACCUGGACUCUCGCAGUUGUCAUGGUCCAGCAGGGAACUAGAGGGUAAAUUUCCAAGCAAUUAUGGUAAAAUGCUCAGGCUGUAAAAUUAAUUAAGUGGAGCUACUGUGGGCGGGAGCCCGGUGUAAGUAUAAAAUCUCUUCCUCUUCCUUGUGGAGUUCAUUGCUGGAAAAGUCUCUCGGCUUAUAUCCAGCCAGCAUAAAGAAUAAGAUGCCCUUUCUUUUCCCCCUGAAACAGGGUUUCAGACCUGCCUUCGGAACCUCUGCUGAAGUCCUCAUUUUGUCUCGGUGAAGAGUGGUGCUUCGGAGCAGCUGUAUUGUUAUUGGCUUUGCAUCUGGUCUAGCCAUGAACAGUCCUGCCUGCUUACAGUCCUGCAAUCCCACUGAUUUGAAUGGGGUUGUACAGGUAUGAGUGAGGGGAGAACUUGGACUAGCGUUAUCUGUCGCCGGUGUUAUUUAAUAAAUACUUGUGAGAGUCUCUGGAAUGCCUGACCAUGGUUAUGGACUUCAUUGUAUUAGGCACUGUUCAUAUCCUUAAUAAAAAAAUAGUCUCUUCUUUUUAAUAA